CCAGUCUUGGGGCUUGAACUAAGGGCCUGGAUGCUGUCCCUGAGCUUUUGUGCUCAGGGUUAACGCUGCUCUCCUACUUCAGCCACAGUCUUAUGAGCACAUUUUUUUUUUUAACUUUCAUUGCUUAGCUUUUCCUUACAUAUUUAAAUGAUGUGAUUUUGUUCCAAACAGCUCUACUGUUCUGUCAGGAUAGGAUGCACAUGUGACACUUCCUCCCUCUCUUUUAUCUCUGGAAAUACAGAAGAUUAGAGGAAUUGAUGAUCAUGUCCAUUUGCUGGUUGAAGGGCCUGCUCCAUGUAAAUUAGAACCAGACAGUUGUACCAUGAGGAGCACAGGUUCAUGGGGUGUGUGCCAUGCAAAGAAUUAUGGGAGGGAGGAAGGAAACAGCCUGAGCUCAAGAUCUAUUGCAUCCAAGGACAAAGAACGACACCUGUGGACAGGAAGGACAGAGACGCAGAAAUAUAGCACUGCCCUACACACAGCAAACACACGUGAACUUGACCACAUGGGCUUAAUCAACUGCAGCUGGGCUGAGAUAAACAAGUGCUAAGAAACCUGUUGGAAGAGGCCAGGGCUGGAGCUAGCGCAUUGCUGAAGUAAUUGGAGCCAGGUGCGCUAGCCUGGCACAUUGCUGUUUUGGAGGUGAGAAUUUGGCGAAGUCUGAAAUAGGGAUGUGGUUUGGCUAGUUGUGGGAGGCAGAAUUUUCCAAGACUAGAAGAGACUGGUAAAUAACACAAGAGUCGGGUUGAGGAGUGUGAGGUGUGUUGAGGACAGCCAGUACCUUGGCAGCUAUGACAGUGUUCGGGGUGCUUGUUGAGAACAGUAGGUAUUCAGCAGUUCAGCAAAACCAGCGGAAUCGAUGCCAUCUUUAAUGCUGGGAGGGUCACUUGAUGGCUAAAGAAGGGGGGGUUAUUAGAUCUCUGAGUACAAAUGUUUUCCCC